rnacentral:rRNA from 1 species
GGUUGAUAGGUCUGAGGUGGAAGCGUGGUGACACGUGGAGCUGACAGAUACUAAUAGAUCGAGGACUUAACCUAUAUU